rnacentral:tRNA from 1 species
UGCAUCGGCUGGGAAUCGAACCCGGGCAGCCCGCGUGGCAGGCGAGCAUUCUACCACUGAACCACCGAUGC